rnacentral:misc_RNA from 1 species
CGGAGCCGGGAGCGUGGGAG